CAAGCACCUAAACCCAAGCACUGCUGUUUGCCAUAGCAGCAGUUUAAACAGAGGUGCUGAUGGCAAGCGGAUCUCGUCGCCUUUGGGGGCUGUGACUGUGCCCCUUGAAGUGAAUUGGGAGGUUCUACACUC